GAUGAACGCUGGCGGCGUGCCUAAUACAUGCAAGCCGAGCGAACGGACGAGAAGCUUGCUUCUCUGAUGUUAGCGGCGGACGGGUGAGUAACACGUGGAUAACCUACCUAUAAGACUGGGAUAACUUCGGGAAACCGGAGCUAAUACCGGAUAAUAUUUUGAACCGCAUGGUUCAAAAGUGAAAGACGGUCUUGCUGUCACUUAUAGAUGGAUCCGCGCUGCAUUAGCUAGUUGGUAAGGUAACGGCUUACCAAGGCAACGAUGCAUAGCCGACCUGAGAGGGUGAUCGGCCACACUGGAACUGAGACACGGUCCAGACUCCUACGGGAGGCAGCAGUAGGGAAUCUUCCGCAAUGGGCGAAAGCCUGACGGAGCAACGCCGCGUGAGUGAUGAAGGUCUUCGGAUCGUAAAACUCUGUUAUUAGGGAAGAACAUAUGUGUAAGUAACUGUGCACAUCUUGACGGUACCUAAUCAGAAAGCCACGGCUAACUACGUGCCAGCAGCCGCGGUAAUACGUAGGUGGCAAGCGUUAUCCGGAAUUAUUGGGCGUAAAGCGCGCGUAGGCGGUUUUUUAAGUCUGAUGCGAAAGCCCACGGCUCAACCGUGGAGGGUCAUUGGAAACUGGAAAACUUGAGUGCAGAAGAGGAAAGUGGAAUUCCAUGUGUAGCGGUGAAAUGCGCAGAGAUAUGGAGGAACACCAGUGGCGAAGGCGACUUUCUGGUCUGUAACUGACGCUGAUGUGCGAAAGCGUGGGGAUCAAACAGGAUUAGAUACCCUGGUAGUCCACGCCGUAAACGAUGAGUGCUAAGUGUUAGGGGGUUUCCGCCCCUUAGUGCUGCAGCUAACGCAUUAAGCACUCCGCCUGGGGAGUACGACCGCAAGGUUGAAACUCAAAGGAAUUGACGGGGACCCGCACAAGCGGUGGAGCAUGUGGUUUAAUUCGAAGCAACGCGAAGAACCUUACCAAAUCUUGACAUCCUUUGACAACUCUAGAGAUAGAGCUUUCCCCUUCGGGGGACAAAGUGACAGGUGGUGCAUGGUUGUCGUCAGCUCGUGUCGUGAGAUGUUGGGUUAAGUCCCGCAACGAGCGCAACCCUUAAGCUUAGUUGCCAUCAUUAAGUUGGGCACUCUAAGUUGACUGCCGGUGACAAACCGGAGGAAGGUGGGGAUGACGUCAAAUCAUCAUGCCCCUUAUGAUUUGGGCUACACACGUGCUACAAUGGACAAUACAAAGGGCAGCGAAACCGCGAGGUCAAGCAAAUCCCAUAAAGUUGUUCUCAGUUCGGAUUGUAGUCUGCAACUCGACUACAUGAAGCUGGAAUCGCUAGUAAUCGUAGAUCAGCAUGCUACGGUGAAUACGUUCCCGGGUCU
rnacentral:rRNA from 1 species